GCAGUCGAGCGGUAACAGAUCCAGCUUGCUGGAUGCUGACGAGCGGCGGACGGGUGAGUAAUGCAUAGGAAUCUGCCCGAUAGUGGGGGAUAACCUGGGGAAACCCAGGCUAAUACCGCAUACGUCCUACGGGAGAAAGGGGGCUCCGGCUCCCGCUAUGGGAUGAGCCUAUGUCGGAUUAGCUAGUUGGUGAGGUAACGGCUCACCAAGGCCACGAUCCGUAGCUGGUCUGAGAGGAUGAUCAGCCACAUCGGGACUGAGACACGGCCCGAACUCCUACGGGAGGCAGCAGUGGGGAAUAUUGGACAAUGGGGGAAACCCUGAUCCAGCCAUGCCGCGUGUGUGAAGAAGGCCCUCGGGUUGUAAAGCACUUUCAGCGAGGAAGAACGCCUAGCGGUUAAUACCCGCUAGGAAAGACAUCACUCGCAGAAGAAGCACCGGCUAACUCCGUGCCAGCAGCCGCGGUAAUACGGAGGGUGCAAGCGUUAAUCGGAAUUACUGGGCGUAAAGCGCGCG
rnacentral:rRNA from 1 species